rfam:Brassica oleracea var. oleracea cultivar TO1000 chromosome C7, whole genome shotgun sequence
GUACCUUUCUCGGCCUUUUGGCUAAGAUCAAGUGUAGUAUCUGUUCUUAUCGGUUUAAUAUCUGAUAUUUGGGUUAUUGGUCCAUUUGAUAUUAAUUUUAUUUUUUAUAGGAAAAACCCAUUAAAUAGUUUGCUAUUUGGGUUUUUGAGAGUCUCUCAUGCUUUACACUGGUGCAGGGGUCUGGUUUACCCACC